GCUGAGAACUCAACCGUAACAAUAAUUAACUCACCUUUUUCUUAUCUCUAAUCACUUUUCCUUAUGUUCCCCAUGCCUCAGCUUGAUCCCAUAAAUAUCUAGGGUCCAUUAUCAUCGGGGAUGCGGAUUAGAGAUUUGUUCUUUCAUUUCCUCACUUGGCUGCUUUGUGAAUAAACAUGUUCUUUGCUGCAACAGUGUGUGGCUUGUUGGUUGUCAGAUCUCCCAGCUGGACACUGGAAAUAGCUUUUGAUGGUUUAGGGCCUCUUUCACUUGACCUCAGUUGCUGCUGGUAUGGAAUCCACAGAGGUGAACAGAUUUCCCCUUCCUAGUAAUACAACCACAGCAACAAAAGCAGUGAGUGAGGAGAAAGCAGAACUAACAUCUCUUCAAGAGGGCACCCCCUGGUUCAACAGACAUUAUUCAUUAUCUGAUGCUGUGAAGGGUAUUUAUAGACUAAGAAGGAUAUUGGCUCAUACUCUGGGGAAUUACAAACUGAAAGACACUGAAUGAUAAUUGUUGUUGUUAAUCUUGAGAUAGAAAAAGACACUUUGAGCCUGCCAGUGGUCUUCUGAACAAAACAUCACAGACUAUAUUCUUUUUCAUCCUGGCUUUUUGUAUGUAUUUCCUAGGUCCCUAAGAGGGAGAAUGGUGAAUUAGGAAUUGUGUUUGGAUUAGCUGCACAAAUAGAAAAGCAUAGUCCAUGACAGUUAAAAUCACAACAGAUUACAAAAUAUUUUUCAACUCAUGGUUCUGUAGUAGUGUUAGAAUGAGAAUUCAGUAUAACUGUCUGUCAAACCAUAAUGAGUUCAGCAGACAUCCUGAUGAUCUCAUAGGAAGGACAACUUGUCACUUGAAGUUGGUAGCAUACCGGAUGGAUGGAGCAUGGAAAUGGAAACUUCGUUUCUUCCUUCUGACAGGGCUUCUUUCUGGUACUUGGAUCAGCUAAAUGGGAUGAGACAGAAGUGCAAAGUUCAACUUACACACUUAAAGACCUUUGGAGAUUUUUGGUUACCACCUCAGGAUUUGCUGUAAAAUAACACAUUUUGUGCUUUUUUCCUUGUGUUGCAGAAAGUUCAGUCUUUAAUAGACAGGAGUUUCAAAUUCUCAUGUAAGAAUAAAACAUUGGCACAGAACAUACAGACAUUUUCAAAGAUUACCUUUCUAGUUUUUUAUUUGUUUAGCUGGUUAGUUGAUGUAUGAGUUUUGAUAUUUUGAAAUUUUGUUUUCUGUUGUUUUCAUUUCUGUUUUGCUUCUCUUUGCCAAAAUACCUCAUCAGACUUGUCUGUGUACUUUUCAACAAUUAUCAAAAUUCUUAUUCUCUCAGCUGAAAUAAUUGUAAAUAUUUCACUGCUGCUUUAAUAAUGCUCUUAAGGAAAGAGAUAGUCCUGUGUGAGUUGUUUUUUAAAAUGAGAUUUCAGCAUGAAAUAGGUAUAAUCAUGAGUCAUGUCCAAAUCUUC
ensembl:lncRNA